UAUGAUACACAGGUACAGUAACAACCUGGGACGUAACCUAUAUGAUACACAGGUACAGUAACAACCUGGGACGUAACCUAUAUGAUACACAGGUACAGUAACAACCUGGGACGUAACCUAUAUGAUACACAGGUACAGUAACAACCUGGGACGUAACCUAUAUGAUACACAGGUACAGUAACAACCUGGGACGUAACCUAUAUGAUACACAGGUACAGUAACAACCUGGGACGUAACCUAUAUGAUACACAGGUACAGUAACAACCUGGGACGUAACCUAUAUGAUACACAGGUACAGUAACAACCUGGGACGUAACCUAUAUGAUACACAGGUACAGUAACAACCUGGGACGUAACCUAUAUGAUACACAGGUACAGUAACAACCUGGGACGUAACCUAUAUGAUACACAGGUACAGUAACAACCUGGGACGUAACCUAUAUGAUACACAGGUACAGUAACAACCUGGGACGUAACCUAUAUGAUACACAGGUA